rnacentral:lncRNA from 1 species
GGGCGGUGACAGAGGCUAGGUGCACCAUUUGCGCUGACGGCGGCGUAGAAGUCAGAAGACCCUAGGAGUGACAGAGGUGGCUAGGGUUAGGGUUUCAACUUUUUUUCUGAAAAGUUUUAACAUUUUGGGCCAUUGGGCUUUCAUUUUUUUUGGGUUGUAAUUUUAAUUAUUUUUGGGCUUUUUGGUUUAUUUUUGUUUUUGGUUUCUAGCGGGCCGGGCAAAUUUUGGUCUUUACAGCUGCCCCUCUUUGCUCGUUGUAGUGUAACGAGA